GAAAUAAUAUUUGAAUGAUGAGAUCAAUCUCUGCUCCAGAACAUUUUCUGAAUAUCGCUAGCCUAUUGAUGAGGUACCUCUGGCCAUCAUUGCGUAGUCUCAACACACAGUCAAGUGAUUAAAACAGUCUGAACAGUUUAUUUGUCCUAAUGAUGAACCACUUUGUCUAUUUAGAUUACCUCCAGCCUUGCGCGAUACCUACUAAGCCAAGAAACACACCUUUGAUGCUGGGCCUGGUAUUCACAAACAACGAGGCGUUCCAUGUGAUAUUUCCCAACAUGAAGUACUGCGCGAGAGGUGCAGUCUUCCACACAGUAGACCACUGGGUCUUGUUCUGGUCCAGUUGGAGCGGCGCCUCGACCAGGUAACUCACCUCCUCGGUGAUGGAGAACACGAGAACGGUGUUCAGAACGAUGGGCAGGUAGCGUCACGUCUUCUCCACGCGAUCCCACAACCGACCAUCGAAGCUUAACCAUGUCAUGGUGCCUUCUCAGUCUUGUGUCCUCUAUGCUUCCUUUUGUGAUUUUAUCUAACAGGAUUAUAGCUGACAGGUGAAAGAAGGGGGACGUUUUUCACAGAUUUACACGUAUCAUGUUUGAGAUCUGAUGUUGACGUUAGCGAUUGAGUGAUUACGGACUAUUCUUACUCCUUUUACCAACAUGUAAACUGACUAUAACAUGUCUGUUGUCAUUAAGAAAGAUCGGUGUGUGGACAAGUGUUGAUGCCCCUUCAUUUCAAAGGAAGUGGAGCUGUCAGUGUAGCCAGUGUUACAUGAAAAUACGUCCCCCAUAUCUAUACGUAUCGCGGCCAUGUUCCGUGUGAAAUUACUAAAGGACUGUACUACAACAAAAUUGUAUUCCUCUCUGAUUAUAAUUAGUCCUGUGCAUUUGCAUUAAGAUAAACUCUCCUAAAUAUGAAAGUUAAUUAUUGACUAUUAGAUAUUCAAAUUACAUUACUUUAAUUUUAUGGAGGUUAUUCAUUAGUGUAACGUUAUUUCUUCCAUAUAUUUUCUUACUCAUAGAUGGUGAUGACAGCAAAGAUAGGUUUCCUCAAUUCAUCUGUGAUGACAGUGAGGUCCAUAUGACCCUUGUUCCUCCCCUUAAAAGAGAGCAAUUACAACCAACCCUUAAACCAUGUUAAUCCCAGGCUGUGCUUGUGAGCCUUUAAUUUCAAAAGUUUUGUGGUCCCUGUCAUGCCCAUAGUGAAAGAGAAAUUAUGUCUACCUGGUAUAUGGACGGUGUCGGGGAAAACCGAGGUGGUUAUACAAAGCAGGGACCAGAACUUCUGCUACAGAGUGAGAUGAAGCUGCAGAGUAACCUUGUGGAGAGAGAAGAGCAGCGAUCUGGCACAUGAGCUGGACAUCAAACCAGUGCAUCUGUCAAGUGGACAUGGACUGAGCAGCAGAACCCUGAAGGGGUAUUCAUGGUCUGUAGAUCCCGUUACAGAUGAGGAUGAUGAUAUUGAAAGUCUUCUUGCUCCACAAGCAAAGUAAAGACAGCGUCAGCAGCAGGGAGAGGAGGAAGAGGAGGGAGGGAGGAAGAGCAGGGCAUAGCGCAACAGACAGGUCCUCUGCAGGAUCCGGGGAGGUGGUUAUUGCUGAGGCUUCAGUAUCUUCUGCCUCUGUGGUACAAAGCUAAGAGAAUGAUGGGACAUCGGAGGCAAAGAGCAAGACAAACAGUAGGAGUCCCUGAGUCAUAGGGAGGGGUUGGUGAGUCAAAUGGAGGAAUCAAGUCAAAUCAGGAAUCAUGGAGUCAUAGGGCAUAGACAAUGAGUCAAAAGAGGGAGUCAAUAAGUCAAAUUGAGUCAGGGAGUCAUAGGGAGGAAGUAGCCAGAGAGAAAGAAGUAAGAGAGAAUGACAUGGAGGCCACAGAAGGAGAAGAGGAGAGUCUGGUCUGACUCACUGUGAAGGAGGGAGCAACAGGAGAAUAGGAGAGUCUGGUCUGACUCAGUAUGGAGGAGGGAGCAAAAGGAGAAGAGGAGAGUCUGGUCUGACUCGGUAUGGAGGAGGGAGCAACAGAAGAAUAGGAGAGUCUGGUCUGACUCAGUAUGGAGGAGGGAGCAACAGGAGAAGAGGAGAGUCUGGUCUGACUCAGUAUGGAGGAGGGAGCAAAAGGAGAAGAGGAGAGUCUGGUCUGACUCGGUAUGGAGGAGGGAGCAACAGGAGAAGAGGAGAGUCUGGUCUGACUCAGUAUGGAGGAGGGAGCAACAGGAGAAGAGGAGAGUCUGGUCUGACUCACUGUGGAGGAGGGAGCAA